rnacentral:rRNA from 1 species
GAUGAACGCUGGCGGCGUGCUUAACACAUGCAAGUCGAACGGAAAGGCUCCUGCUUGCAGGGGUACUCGAGUGGCGAACGGGUGAGUAACACGUGGGUGAUCUGCCCUGCACUUCGGGAUAAGCCUGGGAAACUGGGUCUAAUACCGGAUAGGACCACAUUUUGGAUGGUGUGGUGGAAAGUUUUUCGGUGUGGGAUGAGCUCGCGGCCUAUCAGCUUGUUGGUGGGGUAAUGGCCUACCAAGGCGUCGACGGGUAGCCGGCCUGAGAGGGUGUACGGCCACAUUGGGACUGAGAUACGGCCCAGACUCCUACGGGAGGCAGCAGUGGGGAAUAUUGCACAAUGGGCGCAAGCCUGAUGCAGCGACGCCGCGUGGGGGAUGACGGCCUUCGGGUUGUAAACUCCUUUCGCUAGGGACGAAGCGCAAGUGACGGUACCUGGAGAAGAAGCACCGGCUAGCUACGUG